AUUUAUAUAGUUUAAAGAAAACACUACAUUUUCAAUGUAAAAAAAAUAAGUAAAAAUAUUUAUAAAUA
rnacentral:tRNA from 1 species